GCCGGCAGCUAGUUCUUUGCAAUUUUCACAUGGUCGCCCGCUGACGCUAAGCAGGGCUGUGCCUGGUCAGUACCUGGAUGGGAGACCACAUGGGAAAGCUAGGUUGCUGCCGGAA
rnacentral:rRNA from 1 species